GGCUAAAGAUAUGCAGGACCCACUUUUUCCCUGGGGGAAUAUUUUGGAGUGCCAGUGCCUGCACACACAGGCAUUCACCCACCCGCUUCUGGCCUCCUUCUAUGCACCACAUUUACACACAACACUGUAACAUCCUUAACACUCUCUUGAGAAAUGCACAACUCUCUCCAUCAGACGGCAAAAGCAGAAGGCAACAGUGUAGGCAGCCCAGGACACAGCCUCGGUAAUACAAUGUAACGAAUGCGUGAAAACACAGGAUGCUUAUUUCUAGGGCAUGGGAAUUGCCUCAACCUACUCCACUUAUGCCGAUGUUCCUCCCAGCUCAGCAUUUGGAACCCAACAUUCUGCAUUGAACAGUUCCACUCUGCACAUUCUCUACUGGCGCAUUUGGCUACUCAGUGGCACACUCGGGAUUUGCAUGAGAAACAACCACAGAGACUUUUAUAGAGACCAGUCGUACUCAUUUGAAGGGUAAUAACUUCCGCUGGUAUGCAGUGGAAAAGCUACACAGUGAACAGAAGUGGCUGUAUGUUGUAUCCCUUAAGCCAAAAGAUGCUCCAGGGCAGGGUCCAGCUGUUGGAGGGAGAUGAUGAAUCUUUUUGGAUGUGACAAUCACAAAAAUCCAUCUUGGGGCCUGCAUCUAGUCCCCAUCACCCCCUGCCAUUCUUGCACACAGCAUAUUCAGAAGGAGAACAGUUGAAAAAACACAUCGAGAAAAAUGAAGAGGGGGCAAACAGGCAUCUUGUGCUUACUCACAAAAGCAAACCUCUUCUAGGCUUGUAUCAAGAAGUGACCAAGCACAGCCUACAAGUUGUUGUCAUGCAAGAUCUUUCAAAGAAUUCCCAGCCUCUAGCCCACACACCUCUUCUGCAUAUACUCAUGAUUCAUUAGGUGGGUAAUUCUAGCCCCAGUGCAGCCCAGUGUGGUAGGAUGCAUCAUUGAGGAGUCAGAUUUCAGAGUAGCAGCCAUGUUAGUCUGUAUCCGCAAAAAGAACAAGAUUACUUGUGGCACCUUAGAGACUAACAAAUUUAUUUGAGCAUAAGCUUCCGUGGGCUACAGCCCACUUCAUCAGACGCAUCAUUGAGGAAGGGAGGGACAGCGCUAACAGCUUGCUGGAGAAACAAGGAGUGGGACCUGCCCUCUCUGGAGAAAUUGCCUAGCCUGUGAGUUAGGAAAGAAGACUCCACCACCUAGGGAAUCAUGAGUAUGUGGAGAAAAGCAGGUGGGAGGGCUAGGAGUUCCUGGAGAGACCUUGCACAGGGAGGAACUGCAGUAUGUGGUGGAGGGCACCUGGAAUGCAGGCCAGAAGCUAAGAAAUUGACCUCCGCACUCCAGGGAGUUGUGCUGGCUGUACAAAGCUGAAAAUCGUCAACUUUUCUUUUGAGACUGGCUGAAAGAACCUGGGUCUUGAUUUCUCUGCUUUAGAGAUGGGCAGAGGAAAGGUUUUGGGGGGCAUAUAUGGACCUGAAAGUCACAGGUUGCUGUAUCUUUUUUCAGUACUGGCAACCCCAAGCAUUCCUAAAUUAUGAGUCAGGCCCCCCAAAAAACAUAUAAUUAGUUAAAAAAUCAUGAGAUUACAAUAAUGAAACCCGAUACAUUUGGGCUUCUUUUCAUUUUCCUUUUAGUUUUAAGCCUUUAGGGGUCCCGUGUUCAAGCUUUGCUCUGCAAACAGGAGGGCCGGAAACUUUUUUUUUCAAUGAAAACUGAGAAUCUCACAUAAUCUCCUAACUCCAGCAGCUGGGUCUUGAAGAGAAACAUCAAAUACGGUGAGACUCACAAAGUUGGUGGCACUGCCUUUUUUGUCAUAUCUAACAAAGACAAUUGGCUACACAUGCAUGUUUUGAAGAGGUGCAGCUGAGGAGGGAGAAAAAUGCCACCCUCACCAGCACACAAAUUUCUAAGUGGAUGGACUGAAUUCAUGGCCAAGUCUAACAACUGGUGAUAAACCAACCUCACCAUAGCCAAGCAUGCUUGCUGCAAGCCAGCUCCAGUAGAGCCCAGAUAUAUACAAAUCAAGGGUCAUAGGAACUCACAAGGUUCAGGUGGCUUGACAGACCCCACUAGGCCAUGCAAUCCUUCUCUACUCAGUGCUCUGCCCCUGAAGUACAGGGCCAAUGACCUGCUAUCCAGCUCUAGAAUCUUGGACGGAUGGAUUAUUCGGCCCAAUUUUGUUUACCUAGUGAAUUAAAUCUAGUUGUGCCUAAUGUGCGUUACAUGAGGACGCUACUGUAAACCAUAGGAGAAUAUAGACAUGGAUCUUUCCUACCCUUUUUGGUCUCGUAUCUUUCUCCUCUACUGAGUCCAAACUUUCUUUUGUUCUUUGAUGGAAAUUAGCCGGUUAACCUUUCACAGAAGCGAAAACAGCAGAUGCAAAACCUGCAGCCAUUUCUCCACUACUACGAUAAUCAAUACCCCCCCCCACCCCACACACACACAUCCCUUUCAAGAUCUCUGAGUACUAAACAUGCCUAUCACAACAUGUGGGGUACCUCAUCAGUGCAGCAAAUGCCCCAACAACAGCUAUGUGGCUGAAAUUAGACAAUCCCUACUAUCUCACACAGAAAGAUAAUAAAACACAAAAACACCCUGUCACUCAUGGGUGAACCCUUUUCACAUAAUGAUCACGCCCUGUCGGACACCUCAGUGCUCAUAUUCAAAGGAAACUUGCACAAUACCUUGAAAAGACGAGCUUGGGAGCUUAAAUUCCUCUCUCUGCUAGACACCAAAAAUCAGAGACUCAAUAGAGACACUAUUUUUAUGUUUCAUUACAACAACCUGUAACCCACUUACUUUUCUUUAGGUCUUAUUACCACCAAGACUUUCACUGAUAUCCAUCUUAGAGAUGACUGUAUACAAUCAGAUGUAUCUGAUAUUGAGCAAUUCAGUGCAAUAUGUUCAGUUCACUUAUGUUUCUUAAACUACUGCCACUAUUUAAUGUGAUUUGAGCCUUUGAUAUUUUAUUAUCAGUAUGCAACUUUCAUACUUAACCCAUGAAAAAAUAUUGCUGAUCUGAAAUCACAAGGAGGAGAAAAAUGGAUCAAGAAAUCUACAAUUAGUUGGGACUGUACCCUCCCCAAAGUCAGUAAUUUAUAGAAGUGAUAAAGGGCCCCAGACUUCAAAACACUUAUGCAAGUGAUAAAGUUACUCACAUGAGUAGACCUUUCCUAUCAACGCCAAUGUUUGUUGUAGUGAAUUAUUCCAACACUGUAUUUGGCCCAGCAUCUCUUGACUCUCACAGUAUGUUUUUAAAAGUUGCUAUUAUCUUUUAGCUCUGCUUUUUAUCAGAGAAAGUUUUAAUGAGAAAAUUUAGCAGCUGCAUGUCUAUUUUUCUACUAAUUAGGGGAAGUGUUUUUCUUUUGCAAUGGGUUUUCUUUAUCUUGCACUAGUCAACUACCAUGUAGCAUCCGUGCAAGGUGUUACCUUCUUAUCUG